CCAAUAGCGUAUAUUAAAGUUGUUGCAGUUAAAAAGCUCGUAGUUGAACCUCGGGGUCUACCCAUUGGUCAGGCUUAAUUGUCUGCACUGGUGAGAUGGAUCUCUACCUUCUGAGGAACUUUCAUGCCAUUUAUUUGGUGUGAUGGGAAAUCAGGACUGUUACUUUGAAAAAAUUAGAGUGUUUAAAGCAGACUAUCGUCUGAAUACAUUAGCAUGGAAUAAUGAAAUAGGACGGACUGAUUCUAUUUCGUUGGUUUCUAGGAUCACCGUAAUGAUUAAUAGGGAUAGUUGGGGGCAUUAGUAUUCAAUUGUCAGAGGUGAAAUUCUUGGAUUUAUUGAAGACUAACUACUGCGAAAGCAUUUGCCAAGGAUGUUUUCAUUAAUCAAGAACGAAAGUUAGGGGAUCGAAGACGAUCAGAUACCGUCGUAGUCUUAACCAUAAACUAUGCCGACUAGGAAUCAGACAAAGUUCAUUUUUUAACGACUUGUUUGGUACCUUACG
rnacentral:rRNA from 1 species